rnacentral:rRNA from 1 species
AUGGAUAUUAGAGCUAGCAAAUAUGCACACAAGCUGUUUAGUAUUCACCAGAAUGCUUUUAUUAAGGGGAGACACAUAGUGGAUGGAAUCCUAUCUCUCCAUGAAAUUUUGCAUUAUACUCAUUUCAGAAGGCAGGUGGGAGUGGUUUUGAAACUUGACUUUGAAAAAGCAUAUGACAAAGUCAAUUGGGACUUUUUGCUUGACUGUCAUAGGAAACGUGGGUUUAAUUCUAAGUGGUGUGGGUGGGUCUCGCAAAUACUGAAGAAUGGCACAAUUAGUGUCAAGAUCAAUGAUGAAGUGGGACCUUACAUCUAA